UACGGAGGGUGCAAGCGUUGUUCGGAAUUACUGGGCGUAAAGGGCGUGUAGGCGGUUGGGCAAGUCAGAUGUGAAAGCCCGGGGCUCAACCCCGGAAGUGCAUUUGAAACUGUCUGGCUAGAGUAUGGGAGAGGAGAGUGGAAUUCCCAGUGUAGAGGUGAAAUUCGUAGAUAUUGGGAGGAACACCCGUGGCGAAGGCGACUCUCUGGACCAAUACUGACGCUGAGACGCGAAAGCGUGGGGAGCAAACAGG
rnacentral:rRNA from 1 species